CGACCGGCGCACGGUGCGUAACGCGUAUGCAACCUACCUUUAACAGGGGGAGUAACACUGAGAAAUUGGUACUAAUACCCCAUAAUAUCAUAGAAGGCAUCUUUUAUGGUUGAAAAUUCCGAUGGUUAGAGAUGGGCAUGCGUUGUAUUAGCUAGUUGGUGGGGUAACGGCUCACCAAGGCGACGAUACAUAGGGGGACUGAGAGGUUAACCCCCCACACUGGUACUGAGACACGGACCAG
rnacentral:rRNA from 1 species